GACAGCCGCGCAGGUCGGGCGCGCGGCCAGGGGACAUGGCGCUGCUGGACAGAGGUGGGAGGCCAGACCGGACGCUGUCAAAGGGGGUCGGGAGAUGAGGAUGGACAAAGCGGAAUGUCCGAGGACAAGGUCGGAGCUCGAUGUCGCGCUUGCCGUUUCCGCCUCAGUUCCAGCGCCAGGGGCUGCAGCAGACGCAGCAGCAGCAGCAGACGGCGGCUCUGGUCCGGCAGCUCCAGCAGCAGCUCUCCAAUACACAGCCGCAGCCCAGCACCAACAUAUUUGGACGCUACUGAGCCACCUGGAGGAGCCGCUUGGGCACCGGAUGCGGCCCCACCCUGUCCUCCGAAUUCCCUGUUCCCUUCCCGGCCAAGCACCAGGGGCGGUUGGGGCUCUUCCCUCAGGCUCCUGUUUUUAAUGAGUUUUUCGUAUUUUUGUUAACGUGAGGCAUCCAGCUGUGGGGUUUUGUAUGUUAUUUAUAUAGAGGCCCCAGAGCUGUCGCACCCAAUACACAGAGCUUCUUUGCAGAG